GAAAAAGCAUCGGCUAACUCCGUGCCAGCAGCCGCGGUAAUACGGAGGAUGCGAGCGUUAUCCGGAUUUAUUGGGUUUAAAGGGUGCGUAGGCGGCACGCCAAGUCAGCGGUGAAAUUUCCGGGCUCAACCCGGACUGUGCCGUUGAAACUGGCGAGCUAGAGUGCACAAGAGGCAGGCGGAAUGCGUGGUGUAGCGGUGAAAUGCAUAGAUAUCACGCAGAACCCCGAUUGCGAAGGCAGCCUGCUAGGGUGCGACAGACGCUGAGGCACGAAAGCGUGGGUAUCGAACAGGAUUAGAUACCCUGGUAGUCCACGCAGUAAACGAUGAAUACUAACUGUUUGCGAUACAAUGUAAGCGGUACAGCGAAAGCGUUAAGUAUUCCACCUGGGGAGUACGCCGGCAACGGUGAAACUCAAAGGAAUUGACGGGGGCCCGCACAAGCGGAGGAACAUGUGGUUUAAUUCGAUGAUACGCGAGGAACCUUACCCGGGCUUAAAUUGCAAAUGAAUAUGUAGGAAACUAUAUAGCCGCAAGGCAUUUGUGAAGGUGCUGCAUGGUUGUCGUCAGCUCGUGCCGUGAGGUGUCGGCUUAAGUGCCAUAACGAGCGCAACCCUUAUCUUCAGUUACUAACAGGUUAUGCUGAGGACUCUGGAGAGACUGCCGUCGUAAGAUGUGAGGAAGGUGGGGAUGACGUCAAAUCAGCACGGCCCUUACGUCCGGGGCUACACACGUGUUACAAUGGGGGGUACAGAAGGCCGCUACACAGCGAUGUGAUGCCAAUCCCAAAAGCCCCUCUCAGUUC
rnacentral:rRNA from 1 species